rnacentral:rRNA from 1 species
CAAGCCCUGGAAACGGGGUCUAAUACCGGAUAUUGACCUUCACGGGCAUCUGUGAGGUUCGAAAGCUCCGGCGGUGCAGGAUGAGCCCGCGGCCUAUCAGCUUGUUGGUGAGGUAAUGGCUCACCAAGGCGACGACGGGUAGCCGGCCUGAGAGGGCGACCGGCCACACUGGGACUGAGACACGGCCCAGACUCCUACGGGAGGCCGCAGUGGGGAAUAUUGCACAAUGGGCGAAAGCCUGAUGCAGCGACGCCGCGUGAGGGAUGACGGCCUUCGGGUUGUAAACCUCUUUCAGCAGGGAAGAAGCGAAAGUGACGGUACCUGCAGAAGAAGCGCCGGCUAACUACGUGCCAGCAGCCGCGGUAAUACGUAGGGCGCAAGCGUUGUCCGGAAUUAUUGGGCGUAAAGAGCUCGUAGGCGGCUUGUCACGUCGGUUGUGAAAGCCCGGGGCUUAACCCCGGGUCUGCAGUCGAUACGGGCAGGCUAGAGUUCGGUAGGGGAGAUCGGAAUUCCUGGUG